rnacentral:rRNA from 1 species
AGUGAACGCUGGCGGUAGGCCUAACACAUGCAAGUCGAACGGCAGCACAGUAAGAGCUUGCUCUUACGGGUGGCGAGUGGCGGACGGGUGAGGAAUACAUCGGAAUCUACUUUUUCGUGGGGGAUAACGUAGGGAAACUUACGCUAAUACCGCAUACGACCUACGGGUGAAAGCAGGGGAUCUUCGGACCUUGCGCGAUUGAAUGAGCCGAUGUCGGAUUAGCUAGUUGGCGGGGUAAAGGCCCACCAAGGCGACGAUCCGUAGCUGGUCUGAGAGGAUGAUCAGCCACACUGGAACUGAGACACGGUCCAGACUCCUGCGGGAGGCAGCAGUGGGGAAUAUUGGACAAUGGGCGCAAGCCUGAUCCAGCCAUACCGCGUGGGUGAAGAAGGCCUUCGGGUUGUAAAGCCCUUUUGUUGGGAAAGAAAAGCAGCAGGUUAAUACCCCGCUGUUCUGACGGUACCCAAAGAAUAAGCACCGGCUAACUUCGUA